rnacentral:rRNA from 1 species
GGCUCAGGAUGAACGCUGGCGGCGUGCUUAACACAUGCAAGUCGAACGAUGAACCUCACUUGUGGGGGGAUUAGUGGCGAACGGGUGAGUAACACGUGAGUAACCUGCCCUUGACUCUGGGAUAAGCCUGGGAAACCGGGUCUAAUACUGGAUACGACCUUCUGGCGCAUGCCAUGUUGGUGGAAAGCUUUUGUGGUUUUGGAUGGACUCGCGGCCUAUCAGCUUGUUGGUGGGGUAAUGGCCUACCAAGGCGACGACGGGUAGCCGGCCUGAGAGGGUGACCGGCCACACUGGGACUGAGACACGGCCCAGACUCCUACGGGAGGCAGCAGUGGGGAAUAUUGCACAAUGGGCGCAAGCCUGAUGCAGCGACGCCGCGUGAGGGAUGAAGGCCUUCGGGUUGUAAACCUCUUUCAGUAGGGAAGAAGCCGGCCCUUG